rnacentral:rRNA from 1 species
ACUCAAGACCAUACCGCCUUGAAAGCACCGGUUCUCGUCCGACCACCAAGGCUAAGUAGCGUUGGGCCUGGUUAGUACUUGCAUGGGUGACCGAAUGGGCAUACCGGGUGUUGCCGGCA